GUGCUGGCUGUGGCAGCACAUAUACUAGAAUUAGAAUGAUACAGAGAAGAUCAGCCUGGCCCCUGCACAAGGAUGACAUGCAAAUUCAUGAAACAUUCCGUAUUUUU
rnacentral:snRNA from 1 species